AACCCUAACAAAAGCAUUGACU
rnacentral:miRNA from 1 species